CCGGCCUGCUUGUUUGAGAGCAGCUCACGUGAAGCACUUUACAGACGAGGAAGCUGAAACUCACGGCUUAAACUCCAGUACUGGGAUUGCUACCGAUUCCAUCAAGCAAGCUGGUCCUCUCCCACCAACUGAAGAGACGGUGAGAGUAUGUGACCUGGGCUGGGCCCUGAAGUCCUGGUCCAGAUCUCUGCCGCCUGCUCGUGUAUGUUAUGGAAACAUGUGAACACAUGGCCAGAACCCCCUUCCAGUCCUUGGAAGGGACCCAUUCAAGUGAGAAACUCUGGAGUUUGAGAAUGAUUAGAUUCACUGUUACUCUGGCUCUGCAAAUGCCUCAGUGUGUACUGUUAACCAAACCUGUUGGCCCAGGACCCAAGAAACUGCAGUUUGAACCACUAAGCCCCACGCUUUCUGGAAAUGAAACAUAGCUGCUGCUGCGCUAGAGAAGAUUCUGCUCUCUCCUUGCUUUGGCUUCCUCUCUAACAUCCUCGCUGGAUCAGGCCGUGAAGAUCAGCACUCAUCUCAAACACACUGCCAGUCACCUUGAACGACAAGCAGCCCCAGCAGAGCAUGGAUGAGUGCUACAAAUUCUCUUCUGUUCCUUAAUGCUCCGACCACCAAGCAUGGGACAGAGCCCAGCCAAGAUCAGCAGAGACACCUUCCUGACCUGCAGCUGACCUCAGAUGGAUGAGUGAACCCAGCCAGGACCACAGACCUCAGGCUUUUCUGUGGGCUCAUGAGCAGAAACAAUGAUUGUUUUAUCCUCUGGAGUUUUCAGGUGGUUUGUAUGUGGCUAUCAUUGAGUGAUAUGGGAAUCAUGUGGGACACCAGGAAGGCAAGAGGUGUGGGACAACUCAGAGCUCUCUCUCUCCCUUCUCUUUGGGGGACAAGCUAUGAGUCAGCUACUGAGCAGAAGCUAUCAAAUAAAUAAGAAAAAGAAAAAUAGCUACUGUUUAAUGAGCACCUACUAUGUGGAAGGCAAGCUUGUGGGGUGAGGACUGACAGUCACAGCUAGAUGACACGUACACUCCCUUUCUGUUGUUCUAACAGAACCUUAUUUGAGCUCUGUACCCAGCUUUGAAAGUGACAUUUCCUAAGCCCCCUUGCAGUUGGGGGUGGCCAUGUGAUGAGCUGUAAGUGGGUAGGGCUCUGGGAAAGCUUUUUCACAGGGAGGCUGAUCCAAUUGGUACAUGCCUUUUGUUAUUUGCUGUACUCAUUCCUGCUUCUUAGAAAGGCAUUGGAAUGACUGGAGCUGUUGCAGCCAUUUUCUCACUAUGAGGGAGAAGCCAAGA